AGACCUUUUUUAUGUGACAUUUUAGGUAAAAGUAUGGCAAAUAUAGAAGUUUAAAAGCAGCUGUCACACACAUUUUCACUAAGUGCAGUUUGCAGCUUGAUAAAGGAAGUCCUAUGUGGAGAUAUUAAUAAGCUUGAAUGUAGUAUCGGAAGUUUAUAAUGCAUGGCUAGGGAACUGAGGCUAAGGGAGUUAUGUGCUGUGCAUGAUGAGAACUCAAUGCUCAUUAAUGCUGUUAAUGUUUAUAAAUAAAUUAAUUAAACCAAUAGCAUUGUUUUUUAGGUUUCACUGUACAUUUUCAUACCAAUAGAAUUACACAUCAUUCUAAUUAUAGCAAUAAUAAAUUUGUACUAAUCAUACCUACAAAUUUUGUUAUGCUAUGCUUUGUGAUGUAUUAACUUCAUUGUAAGUUAUUAUUUAAAGACAAUUUUACUAAAUAUUUAAAACAAUACUUGAAUUAUUUUCUAUAUACAUUUUCAUUAUGUGCUUUAACUGUAGCUGACCAGUUGAUGGAAGAUACUGCAGAGUUUGGCAGGGAAAUAACCCAAGACAGCAAAGCGGCUCUUUUGGCGCAUUUACCAAGAGGACUAACAUGGCCACAAAUUCAUGAGAUCAUGCAGGAGCCGUACAGUAUACCAGCAGUACAAGUUCUAUAAAAGAUCCACGACCUACUGAAGCCCAGCCUAUUAACAAAAAAGUUUUUAAAAACUGUAAUUUUAUCCCACCUGGGUACUUAUAAUUUACUAAGCUGCCUUCACAAGUUUUAGACUUGCAAUUAUAUUUUAAACUGUCACUUGGAAAGUAAUACAUGUACAUGCAUUAUGUUCUGAAUUUCUUUGAACAAUAAAAUUAUAUAAAAGUAUUUUAAUGAAAUUGAGCACCUAAAUUGCAUUAAAGUGAAAGUAGCUGAGAAAAAUAGUAUCCUUGUGCUCAUGGGCAGCUACAUAUAUUGUGACAAACAUGAAGUAGCUUAAAUAACUUAAAUUUUUCAUUUUGUUUCUUGUAUAUCGUUUGUACAGGGUUCGUGAAUUGUUACUGUAUAUUACUUGACUUGCUUGUAUUUUGUUACUUUGAAUACAUGUUGUUAAGGUUGCAUUAUACUUUUUAACUUUUAAAGUAGCGCCUGUUCUGUUAUGUAAGGGCCUGAUUUAUGAUAAUGGACCUAGAGGCUUUGUAAGCAUGUAUUAAACAACACUUGUUUGAUCUGAAUAAUUUGUUAAAUAAAUGUAACACAAUUUGUAAUCUGAUGUUAUAUUUUGAUGAAUUGUGAACAAAAUAAUACAUCGAAGAAACUAA